rnacentral:lncRNA from 10 species
AAUCCCCGCAGGCGCUGGGUCUGCAGAUGGCGUCCAGGUACACAGUGGCGAGUGUGAUUCCGCAGUCUUGGGCUGUUUGGCCAAGCGCCCGCCGGACAUGGUACGCCGAAGGGUCAUCGGCGUGGAGUCCUCGCUUUCAGCGUCCGCGGCUGGGAAAUCGGCCAUCGCUACGGCGGGAACUGGGACUCGGGCUGCGUCCCGGCCCUUCCACAUCGGUCCACCGCACUCGUGGGCGCCCGCAUUGGUGCUGACAUAAUUUCCUGACCUCUGACCCGUAUUGUCUCGCGAUUAAAGAGCUGCGCCUGGAUCCCUCAGCAGUGAGGAGACCUGAAGACCAGAGGAAACACAGCAAACGGAGCCUUGCUCUGUUGCCCAGGCUGGUGUGUAGUGAUCUCAGCUCACUGCAAGCUCCACCUUCCGGGUUCACACCAUUCUCCCACCUCAACCCCCGGAGUAGCUGGAACUACAGCCUCCUGCCACCACGCCUGGCUAAUUUUUUUUUUGUAUUUUUAGUAGAGACGGGGUUUCACCAUGUUAGCUAGGAUGG